rnacentral:rRNA from 1 species
GAGUUUGAUCGUGGCUCAGAUUGAACGCUGGGCGGCAUGCCUUACACAUGCAAGUCGAACGGCAGCAUGAUCUAGCUUGCUAGAUUGAUGGCGAGUGGCGAACGGGUGAGUAAUACAUCGGAACGUGCCCUGUAGUGGGGGAUAACUAGUCGAAAGAUUAGCUAAUACCGCAUACGACCUGAGGGUGAAAGUGGGGGACCGCAAGGCCUCAUGCUAUAGGAGCGGCCGAUGUCUGAUUAGCUAGUUGGUGAGGUAAAGGCUCACCAAGGCGACGAUCAGUAGCUGGUCUGAGAGGACGAUCAGCCACGCUGGGACUGAGACACGGCCCAGACUCCUACGGGAGGCAGCAGUGGGGAAUUUUGGACAAUGGGCGAAAGCCUGAUCCAGCAAUGCCGCGUGUGUGAAG